rnacentral:tRNA from 1 species
GAGGGUAUAGCUCAGUGAUAGAGCGCGUGCUUAGCGUGCACAAGGUCCUGGGUUCAAUCCCCAGUACCUCUG